GGCUAAGUGUAGCGCUUCCCCUUGAAUCUCCACUUAUUUUUAAGUGAACUAACUCAAAACAUGGAAUGAUGAAAGUAACCCCAAAACAAGGAUGUCUGAAUCCCUAUUUAGCCCUCAGAUGUUGCUGUCCUGGCCCGGCCUGAUCACCUCUGGCAUUCCUAUUAAGAUGACAUAUAAUCACUGCACAGCCAAAACCAGCAGGAAAAUGCAGAAAAAGACAUGAAAAGAAAGGAGCAUCUCUGUAUUUGCAAGCACUCCUCUCACAGAUGUCCAUGCUGUAUGACAAUAUCAUCAUGGAAUCGGUGUAAGACUGAAACAUCACCAGCCAGAAAUCAAGUCUCAAUUCUAGCAGACUUGAAAUGCAUGACCUACAUCAUCUCUGUGCAAGAGGUUCAGCCCUUACACAUAUGGACCCCAACUCUUGACUGAGAUGAUAUUAUAAUGUGGAUAUAGAAAUAUCAGGGAGAUAUAACUGCAAUCACAGCUCUAAAUGAAUAUUUGCCAGCACCACUGAAAAAACAGUAACAUUUUCUAAAGCAAAAAAUAAACGCCUCGAAUUAUCUUGAAUAAGGAGAAUGUAUAAUCCAAUGCAGUCAAUGCUACNAAGUCCUAAAAGCAACCACAAUUAGUGAAAGUAGAUCUUGUCUUAAAUAUGGGAAAAAUUGAAUGACUGUCUCAUUUUUCCCUCUAAUUUGUUAGCAACUAAAUCCACUGUGAAAUUAAAAGAAUAAAUGUGGGGUAGGUUAAAGUGACACGAAUAUAAUUUACAAAAUGGUUAUAAAAUAUGCAAACUAAUUUUCUUCUUUUUUUUUUUUCCAUUUUUAGAAUCAGUUUUAUAAAUAUCCUUUUGUUCAAAUGCUCAAAAUUCCUGUUACAUCAUUUAUAAAGGGAAAAUCAGUUGAAGAACUUUCUUUUACAAGAAGUAUUAGAGUCAUACACAAGAUGCUUUAUUUAGAAUCUGAAAAUUUAUUUUAUGUUUUUUUCUGUUGACAACCAGAAGCACUGGGUGGAAAAAAAAUAGCAGAACAAAGAGCUCCCUUGAGAUAUUUCACGUUUGCUGACUCACUACAUCAUCACACAUGACACUGAAUUAUUAGUUUCAGCAAAUACUGAAAU
rnacentral:lncRNA from 1 species